rnacentral:rRNA from 1 species
AGCGAACGCUGGCGGCAUGCUUAGCACAUGCAAGUCGCGCGGGUGGUUUCGGCCAUCAGCGGCGGACGGGUGAGUAUCGCGUAGGAAUGUAUCCCGAGGUGGGGGACAACCCUGGGAAACUGGGGCUAAUACCGCAUGGGGCCUGUGGGUCAAAGCCUUAGGGCGCCUUGGGAGCAGCCUGCGUCCGAUUAGGUAGUUGGUGGGGUAAAGGCCUACCAAGCCUGCGAUCGGUAGCUGGUCUGAGAGGACGAUCAGCCACACUGGGACUGAGACACGGCCCAGGCUCCUACGGGAGGCAGCAGAGGGGAAUAUUGGACAAUGGGCGCAAGCCUGAUCCAGCAAUGCCGCGUGGGUGAAGAAGGUCUUCGGAUUGUAAAGCCCUUUCGGCGGGGACGAUGAUGACGGUACCCGCAGAAGAAGCCCCGGCUAACUUCGUG